AGCAGUCGCCGCGGUAAUACGAAGGGGGCUAGCGUUGUUCGGAAUUACUGGGCGUAAAGCGCACGUAGGCGGACAUUUAAGUCAGGGGUGAAAUCCCGGGGCUCAACCCCGGAACUGCCUUUGAUACUGGGUGUCUAGAGUAUGGAAGAGGUGAGUGGAAUUCCGAGUGUAGAGGUGAAAUUCGUAGAUAUUCGGAGGAACACCAGUGGCGAAGGCGGCUCACUGGUCCAUUACUGACGCUGAGGUGCGAAAGCGUGGGGAGCAAACAGGAUUAGAUACCCCAGUAGUCCCUGUCUCUUAUAC
rnacentral:rRNA from 1 species